rnacentral:rRNA from 1 species
UACGUAGGGUGCGAGCGUUGUCCGGAAUUAUUGGGCGUAAAGAGCGCGUAGGCGGCCAGAUAAGUCCGGUGUGAAAGUCACAGGCUCAACCUGUGAAUGCCGCUGGAAACUGUCUGGCUAGAGUCCGGAAGGGGCGAGUGGAAUUCCUGGUGUAGCGGUGAAAUGCGCAGAUAUCAGGAGGAACACCAAUGGCGAAGGCAGCUCACUGGGACGGUAUUGACGCUGGAGACGCGAAAGCGUGGGGAGCAAACAGG